GAUAAACGCUGGCGGCGUGCGUAACACAUUCAAGUCGAACGGACCUUAUGGAAUAGCUUGCUAGGAAGUAAGGUUAGUGGCGGACGGGUGAGUAACGCGUGAGCAACCUGCCUAUCAGUGGGGAAUAACGUUUGGAAACGAACGCUAAUACCGCAUAAUGUAUACUGACCGCAUGUUUAGUAUACCAAAGAUUUAUUGCUGAUAGAUGGGCUCGCGUCUGAUUAGGUAGUUGGUGAGGUAACGGCCCACCAAGGCGACGAUCAGUAGCCGGACUGAGAGGUUGACCGGCCACAUUGGGACUGAGAUACGGCCCAG
rnacentral:rRNA from 1 species